rnacentral:rRNA from 1 species
GGUUGAUCCUGCCAGUAGUCAUAUGCUCAGC